GACAGAGGGUGCGAACGUUGUUCGGAAUUACUGGGCGUAAAGCGCGUGUAGGCGGCAGCGCAAGUCGGGCGUGAAAUCCCACGGCUCAACCGUGGAAGUGCACUCGAAACUGCGCAGCUAGAGUCCUGGAGAGGAAGGUGGAAUGCUUGGUGUAGAGGUGAAAUACGUAGAUAUCAAGCGGAACACCGGUGGCGAAGGCGGCCUUCUGGACAGUGACUGACGCUGAGACGCGAAAGCGUGGGGAGCAAACAGG
rnacentral:rRNA from 1 species